rnacentral:rRNA from 1 species
UUUGACCUCAAAUCAGGUAGGAAUACCCGCUGAAC